rnacentral:rRNA from 1 species
GAUGAACGCUGGCGGCGUGCCUAAUACAUGCAAGUCGAGCGAACUGAUUAGAAGCUUGCUUCUAUGACGUUAGCGGCGGACGGGUGAGUAACACGUGGGCAACCUGCCUGUAAGACUGGGAUAACUUCGGGAAACCGAAGCUAAUACCGGAUAGGAUCCUCUCCUUCAUGGGAGAUGAUUGAAAGAUGGUUUCGGCUAUCAUGUACAGAUGGGCCCGCGGUGCAUUAGCUAGUUGGUGAGGUAACGGCUCACCAAGGCAACGAUGCAUAGCCGAGCUUCAACGGUGUUCGGCCACACUGGGACUGGGACACGGCCAAGACUCCUACCGGAGGGAGCAGUAGGGAAUCUUCCGCAAUGUACGAAAGUUUGACGGAGCAGAGCGGCGUGAGUGAUGAAGGCUUUCGGGUCGAAAAAAUCUGUUGUUAGUGAAGAAGAAGUACAAGAGUAACUGCUUGUACCUUGACGAUACCUAACCAGAAAGCCACGGCUAACUACGUGCCAGCCGCCGCCGUAA